CAGGCGGGCCCAUGACACUGUCGGGGUGGAUGCACUUUCCCCAUUUCUUCUCCAAUCCGCAGCCAGCAAUUCCUCGUCGGCGACACGAGCGCACCACCUGCCUCAUCGGCGGGAGAAGCUCCACAUUCCCCGACGGGAGACCAGCUGCUUCUUCGCUCGUGCGCCAAUAAAGAUGGAAGUUGGGAGUAUAAAGAAAAGGCAUAUCAAGUGCUUGAAUGAGUAUGGUCCUGCUGCUUAUCCUAAUGAGCAUAGAAAAAAACAAGGGUAUUCAGGAUGAUCCUCUUGAAUUGUUCUACAAUCUGAUAGAGUCACUCAUUGAUGAACAAAAGAACACAAUCAGAAAAAUGGGCCUUGGUUCUUUGUUGGAAUUAAAGUGUUCUUUUUCUCCUAUUGGAAUAUACCAUUGGCUUGCAUUCCAUUUUGAUACAGUCACAAGAACAAUUAAUCUUGAAAACAGUUUCUUAUUCAACAUCACACCCAAUACUAUCCAGAUUGUGUUAGGAAUACCAAUGGGCAAGAAAAUUCUUGACAAGAAUUGUUCUACAGAAAAUUACAUUUUGGUUCAUGAUAUCAUAAAGUGGGAAGGAAAUUCUCCAUCUGUGAAAGACUUGUGUUCAAUGAUAAAACCAGACAUGCAAAUUGAUAUGUUUACAAAGACAUUCUUUCUUCUUGCGAUGGCUUCAUUUCUGUGCCCUUCUUCAGAUAGCCUAGCAAGCUCACAAUAUUACAGUGUUGCACUGAUGCUGGACUGCCUUAGUGACUUUAAUCUAUGCUCAUUUGUUCUUGAAUGGUUGACUGUUGAAAUUUAAAUGUUCAAGUCAACACCAAGGAGUAGGAGUUGGAUGCAGGUGGUUGCAGUCUCUUAUUAAUGGCAUCAUAUUUUGAAUUUCUGAGAACUUCAGAAUUCAUUCUUGGCUACCAAAAUACCCAGGAUUAGUCUGUGGACUACAAAUAUAGUCAAAUCAUAUAUAGCUCUUGACUCAGAAGAUUGUUCGUCUGACUCAUUUGGAACAUUAGCUUUAAAGCACAUAUCUGCAACGCCAUUUAGAAGUUAUCACUUGCAAGAUGAUGAUUUUUACAGGAUCCCAAGCACCAUUCAAAAUUAUAUUCAUGAUAAGAUGCAAAUUGAACACAGUGUCGAGAUCUUCUAGGUCCUAAAAGAAUUGAACUUCCAGCUCAAAGACAUGAAGAAUACAAGUAUGUUGGAGACAUUGGUAUGACGAAAGAAAUGUAUGCUCAGUUAUUCCCAAAAGAACAAAGCACAUUCUUAAACAUGAAUGAAUCUAUACAUGAAAAAUUAAGAUGGAAGGACGUCACAGUGGAAACACCCCUUGUAUCUCCUCAUGGCACACAUCCUGAAUUGCAAAGGAGUGCAAGUUAUCAAAUUGAAAGGAAUGAGUUGACUGUACCUGCGUCCACUUGCAACAUGUUGACCAACAGAAGUAGUUCAGGUGGAAAAAAACACCAUUCUACACAGCUGAUAAGUGGGCCGGGGUCUAUCAUUGAAUGAACAUCUCUUUGGUCCUAAAACUAACUGUGUGCUAGUAGAAACAUUCUAUGGAGAACAAUCGUUUGAUCUGUUUGAAGAUUUUUCCUCCAGAAGCAAUUGCCCAAAGUAGCUACCACAUUAGUACUGCUACACAUGCAGUUCCAAAUGCAAUAGGUUCUUCUUGUAGAGACACAAAACCAACCCAGGGUGGUUGUUUUCUAGACCCAAUUCCCUCUAGUUCCAAACCAAGUUGCUCAAAGCUAAUGUUUGCCUACACAGGUCUAAUCUCUAGUUCUAGUGCCACACUACACAUACCUAGUAUUCAAAUAGUUUCCACAUCUCAGACAAAGCCAUGCUCUAGGCACUUGAGCAGUAUAAAAACACAUUCCAAAAUACAGUUGUGUUGUUCAACACACGUGCUGAACGAAGUUUCAGAAGGGCCAGCUUAUUGUGUAAUACAAGGGAAACAACUGUAACACAAAAACACUUCUCUACAUCUAUUGAGAAUGAAUUAUACAAUACUGUCCUGUCCUACUUGAGAAAAGUUGAGUACAGGCAAAAAUGAUUUCCUAAUACAUUAAUCUUGUUGUUUUUCUUCCCUUCUCAAGAAAUAUAGAGAUGUACUCCUAUGUAGUAUCUUCUAACAAAAAUUAUUUGUGCAUCCCUCGUAUUUUCUAGAUAGAUCAUAGAUGGUUGAUCAAAAAACGUUAACUUUAUCAAUGAUGGAAGAUGCAUGGUUAGAUGCAUAGGCGUGUGAUGGACUAUUUCUCAGAUCUUGUUAUGUCUAAUCAGUACAUGCGACAGAAGAAUGGCGGAGGCUUACCAAAUGAAGUUUUGACACACGUUAUGUAUUCAGACAUUAUUGCAAGUUAAGCGUCUGAACUUCACUUUUUUCUUCAUUUAGUUGUAUUGAUAGGUACUCAAUACAAUCAGUUUUUGUGAGAUUUUUAAAACAUGUACAGAUGCUUCUGAUGAAUCCACAUUUGGAUCACUCUCAACAUAAAACAUUUUUCUCAGAGGUCAGUGUUGGAUAUAGGCUAGAGAGAGCUGGACUGGUGCAUAGCCCUUUCCCAGUGCACAACAAACCCAAAGGACCUACCUAUUAGUUUCUUGUUGUUGCGAAUUUCAUUGAUAUGAGCUUUGACAUUCUCGAUCCUGAGAGAGAUUCAGACAAAAUUCUAACACAAAUUUCAGCAGUGUCUUACAAUUUCAAGAUGCUUUUCAUUGCAAGCUAUCCACAUUGCCCUUUCUUCAACAUUCAGAGUUUUGGAAUAAGGCACAUGAAAGUGACAAAGUUGGAAACAAGGGAAUCAGUUAACACAGGCAUCUACGUCUGGAAGUACUUUACAAGUUACAAUGGCAUCGAAACUGAUGUUUUCUCAAAAGUUCAUAUUAUUCUUUUAUUUAAAACAAUGUUUCAAGUUAUUCUUUUGCUGAAUAUCAUGAGACAAUGAGGUGCAAAACUAAUUUCUUCCUUGUUACCCAUAUUAAUCUUCAGGUAGAUCUGCAAGCUUUACAAGAGAAAUUUGUGUUCCAAUUGCUUCAAACAAGUACAACGGAAUAAAAAGUUCAUAUUCUUGCUCAUCUAGCUUCAACACUUGGAAUAAUUAAGAUUUUGUGUUCCAGAUUGUUUCAGGGUCUGGACAAGUUCGAGUAAUUGGGAACUCUAGCAUUGGAGAACUUAAGUAAUGCGUCUUCUAAAGAAUCGAAAUUAUUUUGCAAAAAAUGUUUUUUUCUUCUAUUUGUAAAUUAUGUAUUCACUUUUCUUUCUAACUUUUAUAAAUGAUCAUAAUGAGUCAUGCUCACUAUCUGCUCAUGUACCUUUGACACUGCAAGUAAUUCAACUUUCUAUUCCAAUUUACAAGUUGGAGUUCAGCAUGGCAAGCAAAAGAACAACUUAAUGUACCAUGGUAGUUCAUCAUGGCAAGCAAAAGAAUACCUCCAAGUAAUGGAUCACUACACAGUAACAGGAAACACUGUCUUACAAAUGUAGUAGAUUUUUUUUGAGAAUUUAGCAAACAUUAAAGUACUGGAUUACUGAAUGUUUACUAUCCACAAAUAGUCAUUUUGAAGUGGCUACUUUGAAACUA